CCUUGUGCCAUAGCGCCAAAAACAGAUCAGAACCUACUUCAGAGGUCUCUGACACCAGCAAAACACACUUUUAGACCAUCAAUGUUGUAGACAAGGAACAGUGAGUCCAUUGGCCAUUGAUGAGAUCAGGAGACAAAUGCCAUUGAUCAAGCGACAACUGCCAUUGAAGAAACAGAUGAGCAAACCGAAGCUCAGAGGGGACUAAAUUCUGCUGCCUGA